UACGUAGGUGGCGAGCGUUGUCCGGAUUUACUGGGCGUAAAGAGCGCGCAGGCGGUCGUUCAAGUCGCGUGUGAAAGCCCCGGGCUCAACUGGGGAGGGUCACGCGAUACUGAUCGACUCGAAGGCAGGAGAGGGUAGUGGAAUUCCCGGUGUAGUGGUGAAAUGCGUAGAUGUCGGGAGGAACACCAGUGGCGAAGGCGACUACCUGGCCUGUUCUUGACGCUGAGGCGCGAAAGCUAGGGGAGCAAACGGG
rnacentral:rRNA from 1 species